rnacentral:rRNA from 1 species
GACGAACGCUAGCGGCGUGCCUAAGGUAUGCAAGUCGAGCGGUCCUGGCCCUUCGGGGCUCGGACAGCGGCGCACGGUCGAGUAACACGUAGACAACCUGCCCCGAAGUGGGGGAUAACAGCUCGAAACGGCUGCUAAUACUGCAUGUGGCGUCCCGAUGCUGUUGGGAUGGCUAAAGGCGCAAGUCGCUUCGGGAUGGGUCUGCGGCCUAUCAGCUUGUUGGGGGGUAACGGCCUACCAAGGCGACGACGGGUAGCUGGUCUGAGAGGAUGAUCAGCCGGACGGGGACUGAGACACGGCCCCGACUCCUUCGGGAGGCAGCAAUGAGGGAUAUUGCGCAAUGGGGGAAACCCGUCACGCAGCGACGCCGCGUGGGUGAGGAAGUCCUCGG